GCUAGUAAUCGCGAAUCAGAAUGUCGCGGUGAAUACGUUCCCGGGUCUUGUACACACCGCCCGUCACACCAUGAGAGUUGGCAACACCCGAAACCUGUGGGCUAACCGAAAGGAGGCAGCAGUCUAAGGUGGGGUCAGUGAUUGGGGUGAAGUCGUAACAAGGUAAC
rnacentral:rRNA from 1 species